AAGCCUACAUUGAUUUGGCACACAGAGGUCUCUCAAUGGCUGCUGCUGCUACCAUGUUGCUUCCAUUUCUUUUCAAGGAGAGCCCAAGAUUCCUUUAUGUCAUUAAUCAGGUACCAAAUACACCCAACCCAGUUCUAUAUAUAAAAGGAAGCCCUUUGGGUGCAGAUUCAAUCCUGGAGAUAAUGAUGGAAGGUGAGAAAGUCUUUGAGGUAGAAGAUGUCACUAUAGCGCUUGUGCAGUCUACUUCAUCUUCAGCAUUGAAAAAUUAAUUUUUAAAUUAAUGUAUGUUUAUGUAAAUGCAUAAAGUGGAAAGUAAAUACAUGAUGUGGAUGAAUCAACAUUAUUUUAAAAAAUAUAUUCUAAAUAUCUAUAUAUA